rnacentral:lncRNA from 1 species
GGGGGCAAGCAAGUGAAGAACUGGAGCCUAGUCUAGCAUACAGCAUUGCUGUCUGGAUGGGAGUGCUGUGAAAUGCUGAGAAGGUCCUGUGACAGUCUGAAGUGCAACCACUCGGGCAUUCCCAGUACAUUAAUGAUUGUAACUUUCUAUCUGUUUCCUAGUAUACACUGAUAGAACAUUUAUUCUCUUAAUUUACUUGUUCUAAAGAACUCAUGUUUUCCACUGCUGUUUUUCUAAAGUGUCGUGGGAACCAUAUAUAUUGAAAGACAGGAUGAAUGGAGAGAGCAGUCUAUUCGCAGACGGGCUCCUGCUGGGAAUCUCUAGGUUGGGUUUAAGUGAUAAGUCUCAACAGUCAGGAAUCAGAAUUCCUAUGUGGGUCAUCACCAUCAAAGAUACAGAAAAAGCAAAAUCAGCAGUAGCCCCGGCUCCUCUCUAAUUCUGAGUACUUGGGACCCAGAAGCUCAGGAUAUAUACCACAUUGUUCUUGGUGCCUUUAUUUAUUACAUGAAUCAUGUUUCAUAAAUGCUAAUAGUUAUUACAAAUGGCAAAAAAACAUUUAUCUAAAAUUCCUGUAUGUUUGAGAAAUGCAUUUUGUUCACACAAGACUACAAUUCCUGAUUUAUAAGAUAAUUCUGGAAACAUCAGUCAGCCAGGAAAGAUAGCUAUAUGGAUUUUAUAGAUGAAAUCAGCAGACCGGGUAGGGCUGACAGUGGAAAUGAGCCUAGCUGUCAGGUGGCAGGAGUGUGGCUUCCCUCCUUCAUAGCAAACAAUAAUACGUGGCUCAAGGUGUGUCUCUAUGGAUUUGUGAAGUAUAGAAAAGUGGCUGCCAGAGUAGUCCCAUCAGUGGUAGCCAAGGAUGCACCUUUGGAAAUUGUGGAGCUAGGGCAGCACAUGUGAAGAACUCCCAAGAAGAUACGAUUUAUUCUGUGCUGUUUGUUUAAGCACAUGAAUUUCCUAAUGGAGCCAUCAGACCUUGCUUAUUGGCUAAUAGUUUAAUUAGGCCCAUCUGGAGGAUGCUGUGGUGAAAACUGCCCCAGCUCUGAUAGUGGCAGGGAUGUAAUUUGUCAUUCUGUGGCCAAUGACUGGCACACUCCCAGCCCUAAUGCCAUGCAGGAGUAGUGCUGACUGUCUCAUGGGGAGACAGAUAGCACCUGAGACAUUUUGUGGUUCACCUUGGUGCAGAAGGAAUUACAGGUGAUACUCAAAGUCCUUGAGCUAACCUCAACAAGGUAAGACAGACUUUCUAAAAGUCACACGGAGACUGCUGUCAGCCAUCCCAGGAGAAAGACUUUUCCAUCACACGUAGCUAAAUCAUUGUGGUGUUCUAGCCUUUGACAGAGACUGUCCUGCUCUCAGCUGACAGAAGACAUCAGGUGGCUAAGAAAACAAGGGACAUGCAUCUUUCUCAAGUAUGACAUUAAAUGUCAGGCCUUCAUCCACACUACCUGUGCAAGACUACACCACAGCAAGUAAAUAGACAAUUGAAAUUUCAUAUCAUGAAAGACAUUGCUGAUUUUCAAGGUGAGUGAGGUCCUUGGGCAAUGAGUAUAAGAGAAAAAUUGAAUUAAACCUUCCAUGGACCAAUAAUAUCAUUGAUUUCUGAUGUAUUUAGACUAGCGUCUGACACUUAAGAUCUAAUGGUUCUGCAGGGUGUGGUGGCGCACGCCUUUAAUCCCAACACUCAGAAGGCAGAGGCAGGUGGAUUUCUGAGUUCGAGGCCUGCCUUGUCUACAAAGUGAGUUCCAGGACAGCCAGGGCUACACAGAGAAACCCUGUCUCGAACCCCCCCCCCCAAAAAAGAUCUAAUGGUUCUAUGAGUUCCACGAAGAAAAGACUUGGAGGUUCCCCUGAUACCGUGUGGGUUUUUGGUUUGUUUGUUUGUUUGUUUGUCUUAUGUUUUUCAAAUCUGCUUACCUUGCAGCUAUGUCCUUACUCUUCUGUGUGCCUUUGUAGCCUUCUCCUCUCACACCACUCUGAAAGUACAUAGCUGGUCAAAUAUCUCAUCAAAGUGUUUUUACCAUCUCAUAAUGUGGAUGCUGACUUAACCAGAGUAUCAGCAGGCUCCCAUUGCAAAGCCAGCAUUUUUUUUUCAUCUUUAAGUGACAUAGACUGAGAUUGAGUAGCUUCUAGAAACACUCAGGGAUGCCCCUCAAAACACAUAUACAAGCUGGCCUAUAAAUCUCUCUCUUUUGAAGAACUAUCAUUGAACUUUAUGUUUCAAGGGGAAAUGUGGAGUAGGGAGAGAAUCCCAUGGCAACUAUUACAGUAUUCAUGGCUCCAUUCUGUGCAGGCACCAAUAGCUGCAGCACAUGUGUGGGGUGGCUUUAAAGACCUUCAAAAAGAGUUUGUAAUUAUAUUGAUAAGGUUUGUAGUAGGGUUUUGAGUUUUUUUGCUUUUUGAGGACUUCUUAUUUGAGCCUAGUAUCUAUACCAUUCCUGUGUCUCUCUCCCCUAACCAAUUUUUUCCAAUCUCUUCUUUAAUGAGUAUUGUUGCAUAUAUAAUACACAGGUAUCUACAGGUACAUAUGUUUAAAACAUACUAGUCCACUGACUAUUGUUACUACGUACAUGUGUCCAGGACUGACCCCUUAGACUUGGACAACUAUGUGGGCACUUAGAUGGGAGAAAACUGAUCCUCACUUUCCCAGCAGUCAUUGAUCACCUGUAGCUCUUCAUCCAGGAAUGUGAACAUGUGGAAUUUCCCAUGUCCACAUUGGUAUAUCAACAAUAUUGUCACUAUGACAGUCUCAUUUUGGCAACCAUAUUGUUGACACAUGGGUUGAUCUACUUGCACUGUCUGGGGGACACUGUUUAACAGAAGUCACCUUACACCUCCAUCUUUCCAUCACCUCUCCUGCAAUUUCCCUUUAGUGUUAUAAAUAGUAGUUGCAUUGCAGAUGUACCAGAUGGGUUGGGCACAUACAAUCACUUGCUCUCUCCAUUCUGAACAGUCAUAUAUUUUGCAAAGGUACAAGACAAAAUGAGUAGCUAGCCCUAGUGAAAUUACAAAAGCCAGACUUCUAAACCAUCCUGUUUACAUAACCAACCACCACCCUUCACUUGGGAUGUGAUUUCUGAAAUCACUUUGGCAAUAAUUAAAUGCACACCAUUAAUUGAAGAAUGUUAGGAGAAGUUGAGAAUUUUUUUCCUACCUGCCCAAAUCGCUAUGACAUGUAAAUGGUAUAAUGGAAGCCAGUGGCAAGGUGAGUCAGUAAGUGGAAUAGGAACUGGAAUCAGAUAGUAUCCACAACUCUCAGUAGUUUCUGCUGAGACAUACCCACACUGAUCUAAGGACGAGAGUUCUACCAAACUAGAAAUUUUUGACAGCCUAUCUUAGCUACCUGCUCAUUUUAAAGUGUGGGUACUUCCAAGGCAAUUCACAAAUUAGAUUUUGUUUUUGUAUGCCUAAACACUUAAGACACUAAAGAAAUUAAAAGAAAGGAAAAACGGCUCAGGAGUUAAGAGUGCUACUUCUCACAAGCAAUCAGUGGUGCACAGAUUCUAUGAUCCCGACUCCUGGUUUCCUCUGCUAAAAUAGAGAAUCACAGCAGUGCCUGCCACAAGGCUGUGGCACUAACUCAAAGUCUCUGUGCAUAGAAGAUAGCUUUAAAAUAGAUGAAACAGAAAAACUGCUUGUUAAUUAGUCAUUACCUGUGCUGCUGCAAGCUCACACUCACGAGUACGAGGAUCUGUUAGUAUAACUAUAGGCUUAGCUUCCAAUGGUGCAGUCAAGUGGGAAAACAACAAAACUAGUAGAAGAGGGGGUGUGUCUGACAAGUUACACUGGUGCUCCAGCUCUCUUGAUGGAACAUGAACACAAACCAGUUCUUAGGCACAUGCUUACUUUCUAAAGCUAC